rnacentral:lncRNA from 1 species
CUGAUCUCUAUUCCCGGAUCUGCCUCUGGCUUCCUGCGUGACCUUGGGCUGGUCACCUACCUUUUCUUUUCUUUGGUUCCCAAAUUGUAACAUGGAAAUAAUUCUCUUCCUGCGGUGCCUCAGCCCCUGCUGCCUUUAGGGUGGUCGAGAUCCUCUGACGGGAGGAAGGUAGCACGUUUCCACUGGAGAAAUACUUACCCAGAGCACGGUAAUUUGGGGGCGUGUUGGUGUUCACUCGGGUACAGCAGGGUGCGUGCUGCUGCUUGUGCUUUUUUUUUUUUUUAGUAGGCAAACCUGUGGUGGAAGUCAAAUUCCGUUUGUGGUGGAUGCAGAGCAACGUCAGCUGCAGCGUGCCCUUUCCUCACUAGGAGAUGGUUACCUAGCCAAGGUCACUGCUGCUGCAUGCCUGUAUCACGCAGCGAGCCAGCCUCCUCUUCCUUCCACGGGCGCUGAUCUCAGCGAGGCUUCCCCAGAGCCAGCUGCUCCCGGAAUAGUUUGGGAAUGAAAUGUCACCGUUUGAAACUGGGCAGCAUUCUGUGUUCCUGCUCCAGCCUACGAGAGCCAGCCAUUUCCACGCGGCAGCUCUGCCUCGUAGGCACUAAGAAAUGGGCACCUUGAGCUGAAGUGCCAUGGUUGUUGUAGUACUACUGGUGUACUACCGAGCGGUCCCGGGCGUGCUGACUGUAGCUGUCGCUGCCCCAGCCUGCUGCCAGAGGUUUGUG